rnacentral:rRNA from 1 species
UAACGGCGAGUGAAGCGGCAAAAGCUCAAAUUUGAAAUCUGGCGUCUUCGACGUCCGAGUUGUAAUUUGAAGAAGGCAACUUUGUAGCUGGUCCUUGUCUAUGUUCCUUGGAACAGGACGUCAUAGAGGGUGAGAAUCCCGUGUGGCGAGGAUCCCAGUUAUUUGUAAAGUGCUUUCGACGAGUCGAGUUGUUUGGGAAUGCAGCUCUAAGUGGGUGGUAAAUUCCAUCUAAAGCUAAAUAUUGGCGAGAGACCGAUAGCGAACAAGUACAGUGAUGGAAAGAUGAAAAGAACUUUGAAAAGAGAGUGAAAAAGUACGUGAAAUUGUUGAAAGGGAAGGGCAUUUGAUCAGACAUGGCGUUUGCUUCGGCUUUCGCUGGGCCAGCAUCAGUUUUAGCGGUUGGAUAAAUCCUCGGGAAUGUGGCUCUGCUUCGGUAGAGUGUUAUAGCCCGUGGGAAUACAGCCAGCUGGGACUGAGGAUUGCGACUUUUGUCAAGGAUGCUGGCGUAAUGGUUAAAUGCCGCCCGUC